rnacentral:rRNA from 1 species
GAUGAACGCUAGCGGCAGGCUUAACACAUGCAAGUCGAGGGGUAGAGUUAGCUUGCUAACUUGAGACCGGCGCACGGGUGCGUAACGCGUAUGCAAUCUACCAUGUACAGAGGGAUAGCCCAGAGAAAUUUGGAUUAAUACCUCAUAGUAUUAUUGAAUGGCAUCAUUUGAUUAUUAAAGUUCCAACGGUACAAGAUGAGCAUGCGUCCCAUUAGCUAGAUGGUAAGGUAACGGCUUACCAUGGCAACGAUGGGUAGGGGUCCUGAGAGGGAGAUCCCCCACACUGGUACUGAGACACGGACCAGACUCCUACGGGAGGCAGCAGUGAGGAAUAUUGGUCAAUGGGCGCAAGCCUGAACCAGCCAUGCCGCGUGCAGGAAGACGGUCCUAUGGAUUGUAAACUGCUUUUAUACGGGAAGAAACACUGCUACGUGUAGCAGCUUGACGGUACCGUAAGAAUAAGCAUCGGCUAACUCCGUGCCAGCCGCCGCCGUAAUAC